GGUAAAGUGAAAUCGGUGGCUUAGAUCACAUUGUCCAACAUAAGGAUAACCGAGUAAAUUGACUUGACAAUCUGAAAACAUUUAGUUAGGUCAUGGAAAUUCAACUUCGACUUAGUGCUUUCGGUUGUUAUAAUAGCAAGUAUCAUCUCUCUGACAGAU